UACGAAGGGGACUAGCGUUGUUCGGAAUUACUGGGCGUAAAGCGCACGUAGGCGGAUUUGUAAGUCAGGGGUGAAAUCCCGGGGCUCAACCUCGGAACUGCCUUUGAUACUGCAAAUCUCGAGUCCGAUAGAGGUGGGUGGAAUUCCUAGUGUAGAGGUGAAAUUCGUAGAUAUUAGGAAGAACACCGGUGGCGAAGGCGGCCCACUGGAUCGGUACUGACGCUGAGGUGCGAAAGCGUGGGGAGCAAACAG
rnacentral:rRNA from 1 species